UGCAAGUAGAACGCUGAAGAGAGGAGCUUGCUCUUCUUGGAUGAGUUGCGAACGGGUGAGUAACGCGUAGGUAACCUGCCUUGUAGCGGGGGAUAACUAUUGGAAACGAUAGCUAAUACCGCAUAACAAUGGAUGACACAUGUCAUUUAUUUGAAAGGGGCAAUUGCUCCACUACAAGAUGGACCUGCGUUGUAUUAGCUAGUAGGUGAGGUAACGGCUCACCUAGGCGACGAUACAUAGCCGACCUGAGAGGGUGAUCGGCCACACUGGGACUGAGACACGGCCCAGACUCCUACGGGAGGCAGCAGUAGGGAAUCUUCGGCAAUGGGGGCAACCCUGACCGAGCAACGCCGCGUGAGUGAAGAAGGUUUUCGGAUCGUAAAGCUCUGUUGUAAGUCAAGAACGAGUGUGAGAGUGGAAAGUUCACACUGUGACGGUAGCUUACCAGAAAGGGACGGCUAACUACGUGCCAGCAGCCGCGGUAAUACGUAGGUCCCGAGCGUUGUCCGGAUUUAUUGGGCGUAAAGCGAGCGCAGGCGGUUUGAUAAGUCUGAAGUUAAAGGCUGUGGCUCAACCAUAGUUCGCUUUGGAAACUGUCAAACUUGAGUGCAGAAGGGGAGAGUGGAAUUCCAUGUGUAGCGGUGAAAUGCGUAGAUAUAUGGAGGAACACCGGUGGCGAAAGCGGCUCUCUGGUCUGUAACUGACGCUGAGGCUCGAAAGCGUGGGGAGCGAACAGGAUUAGAUACCCUGGUAGUCCACGCCGUAAACGAUGAGUGCUAGGUGUUGGAUCCUUUCCGGGAUUCAGUGCCGCAGCUAACGCAUUAAGCACU
rnacentral:rRNA from 2 species